rnacentral:tRNA from 1 species
GCGCCUGUAGCUCGAUUGGCAGAGCAGCCGCCUCUUAAGCGGCGGGGUGUUGGUUCGAUUCCAACCAGGCGCACCA